rnacentral:lncRNA from 1 species
UCUUACCAGGCUGUACGUACGGUUUUCCACUGCCGCGGUUCUCUUCUUCCACUGCAAGCGUGUCUAGGGUUUUCGGUUCUAUUCUUCCACUGUAAAAUGACGACGAACUGAGUGCGCCAAGCAAAGUAAUUUGAGCGAUCCAAUGUCACUGUUUUCAGGUGUUUAAUCACGAUUAUUUUAGAGAAAUUCGUCGGAUUAGUGCCUGAAUUAGUGGCUCCACUCCCAGCACCAUUGUCCUCCAUUGCAGCGGAAAUAAGAAAAUCUGAAGAACGGAUCUAUGGGAUAAUCGAGGAGUUAAAACGAGAAAAUAUGCAUCAAUCAACAAUCAGUAGAGUAACUUAUUCUCCAUCUGCAGCUUACAGAUCCUUCUCCUCCUCCCUUCUCCAAGCUUCUACUGCCCGGUGAUGGGUAGAAACCCAUUAACCCGACCCGGCUACCCGCCCAAAAAAAGCGAUUGGGAAAGCGCUCCUCCAGGAGCGCUUUUCCGCUGAAAGCGUCGCUUUAAAAACUAUGGGAGGAGGUAACAUGAAAGGUAAAUCGUACGGUAAGUUCAAUAUGGUCAAUAAAUAAAAUAUAUUGGUGUUAUGUCUGUGUUUUGCAGAUAUCGUUCUAUCGCUAUGGCUAAAACGAAUCCGUUUCUACGGAUCAAACAUUCUUUCUUUUUUGCAGGUAGAGUUCUAUCGCUUUGGCUAAAACAAAACUCUGUCGCUACGGCCAGAAUCUAACAAUAAAUCUUUGUCGCUACGGCCAGAGAUGCAUAACUUCUGUCGCUACGGCCAGAAGAAUUUUGUCGCUUCUGGUGCAUAAUUUUUGUUUAAGAAAUGUUACCAAAAUAAAGAAUAUUUUCAUAUAUUCCCGCAAAUCUUUAAAUAUCUUCAAAGAUAUCUCCUUUCAACAUAGAAAUCAGCGAUUUCUUCAUAAAAUCGUAAACACUUAAAAUUAACCCAUCACUUCGGAGCACAAAGCUUACCCAUCGCUUCGGCUGGGACCCUUCCUUAUGAUUAGGGGUCUCUUCAGAGAAGUUGCAAAGGAGGCGCACAACUCACUUGGGUUAGGAACCACCAUUGCAAUGGAGAAUUUUUUAGUAUAUAAAAUCGUAUCACUUCGACAAGGUUGCCCUUAUGGUCAAUAACUUUGAUUUUCUCACCCAUGGCACCAAACUUCAAAGUGUAUUAGUGUUGUCGAUUCCUUUCCAAUUUAUCCUAUAG